rnacentral:tRNA from 1 species
AGUCCUGUGGUCCAACGGCUACGACACCUGUUUCACAUGCAAGAAACGAUGGUUCGAUUCCAUCCGGGACUAC